rnacentral:lncRNA from 1 species
GCUAAACUUCAGCGUCACAUCACUGAAUCACUAAACAAGCUGAGCAGGAAGUCGUCCUGAAGCCAGUUCUUUCCUGAAAAGGAAUGAAGGAUCUUUCACAGCAGUUUCACACCGAAAGUCAGCAAGCGAUGAAUUUUUCUGGUUUUAUCAUAUGGACUAACUUCAUGUUCUGCCUUCCUUUGACCUUACUGGUCAUCUGUUGGUUGUGUUGCUUGGUGAAAAAGGAGCAUGUGAUCUAUUUCACUAACCUCCUCAUUGCCAAUCUCGUCCACAUCAGCAUAAUGUUCUCCUGGCAGUUGAACAAAGGACGUGUAAUUGACCAAGAUGACAGUAUUUGCAUAGCUGGUUUGAUGGCUAGUUGGUAUUUCAAGACAUACAUUGCUAUUGAAAGGUGUUUUGUCAUCACCUGCCCAAAGUUGAAGUGCAGCAAACAAACUCAGGGAUCCAUGCUGGUUUCUCUCUUAAUUUGGAUCUUUUGUAUUGCAACUGUAGUUCCUAUAGUAGUCUCCAAGAAGUUUUUUAUCCUCUAUAUUUUUGCCCUCCUUCCAGCUCUCCUGUUCAUCCUGUUUUUAGUAUGGACCUUCCACGCCUUGGCUGCUGACACCUUAGUGCCCACUGAGGAAAAACAAAGAAUUGUACGAAUUUUCCUUUUGUUCUUCUUUAAUUAUUUUCUGAUGAUCCUUCCUGGUGUCAUCUGUUCUAUUGGAGUAUUUUUGGCUCAACCUUGCUUUCAAGUUAUCAUUGAUAAACUUUUGACUUUGUUGCUUCUCGGCCCUUUUCUGGAUUUGAUUCUGGUUUGUUUCAUGCAUAUAAGAUGCAGAUUCGACAGCACUGCACCAGAUGUAGCUGAACAUCGGCCGCCAGGCUGGGUGAUGUCGCAAAUACUAAGGGACAGAGAAAAUAGGGUGUAAACUGUGUGAAAGAUGUGGAGAAAAUAUGCAAACAUAAACAUUUACAAAUAUUGCUGUAAAGGAGACAACUAAAAGUUUUACUUGAUGUAUAUAAGAAGUGUGUUCUCAGCUAAAGUUUCUUUGGUUGUUGACCACCUGAAACCCAGUUACUAGUAGUUACUCUUCACAGGAAGCAUCUUAAUGACGAUUUAUGAAUCAACUUUAAAAAAUGAAAAAAAAAAAACUAUAAAAGCUUGUUAAUAGGACUACUUUUGUACUUCCGUGCAAUAAAAUUUGCAUUUCUUAUCUGAUCUAGUGAUGCGUAACAAUGUAAAGGUAAAACCAUGAACCACCGUUCGACUUAUUGAGCUGUAUUUUUGCUACACAGACUGUUGUUCAGAUCAUAACUUUAUGCAUGACAGCUUUUACUGUCAUAGUCUGUGGAUUUUGUCAGUUCAUUUUUGAGCCGUUAAUAUUUGGUAUUGUUGAGUUUUGAUUACUAUUUGACUGGGUUUCCUUAUUUUAUUUUAAGAUUAUUCUAGCAUUCCGA